rnacentral:rRNA from 1 species
GACGAACGCUGGCGGCGUGCCUAAUACAUGCAAGUCGAGCGAAGUUUUUCUGGUGCUUGCCCUAGAAAAACUUAGCGGCGAACGGGUGAGUAACACGUAAAGAACCUGCCUCAUAGACUGGGACAACUAUUGGAAACGAUAGCUAAUACCGGAUAACAGUAUUUCUCGCAUGAGAGAUAUUUAAAAGUUGGUUAUGCUAACACUAUGAGAUGGCUUUGCGGUGCAUUAGCUAGUUGGUGGGGUAAAGACCCACCAAGGCGACGAUGCAUAGCCGACCUGAGAGGGUGAUCGGCCACACUGGGACUGAGACACGGCCCAGACUCCUACGGGAGGCAGCAGUAGGGAAUCUUCCGCAAUGGGCGAAAGCCUGACGGAGCAACGCCGCGUGAGUGAAGAAGGAUUUCGGUUCGUAAAGCUCUGUUGUUAGGGAAGAAUGGAUAUGUAGUAACUAUACAUGUAAGAGACGGUACCUAACCAGAAAGCCACGGCUAACUACGUG